rnacentral:rRNA from 1 species
UAACAAGGAUUCCCCUAGUAACUGCGAGUGAAGCGGGAAGAGCUCAAAUUUAAAAUCUGGCGGUUUCACCGUCCGAGUUGUAAUCUGGAGAAGCAUUUUCUGCGUUGGACCGUGUACAAGUCUCUUGGAAUAGAGCGUCAUAGAGGGUGAGAAUCCCGUCCAUGACACGGACUACCAGUGCUUUGUGAUAUGCUCUCAAAGAGUCGAGUUGUUUGGGAAUGCAGCUCAAAAUGGGUGGUAAAUUCCAUCUAAAGCUAAAUAUUGGCGAGAGACCGAUAGCGAACAAGUACCGUGAGGGAAAGAUGAAAAGCACUUUGGAAAGAGAGUUAAACAGUACGUGAAAUUGUUGAAAGGGAAACGCUUGAAGUCAGUCGCGUUGUCCGGGACUCAGCCUUGCUAUUUGCUUGGUGUACUUCCUGGUUGACGGGUCAACAUCAAUUUUGGCUGGUGGAUAAAGGCUGAGAGAAGGUGGCAUCUUCGGAUGUGUUAUAGCUCUUGGUUGCAUACGCUGGCUGGGAUUGAGGUCUGCAGCACGCCUUUUUGGCCGGGGUUCGCCCACGUAACGUGCUUAGGAUGUUGGCAUAAUGGCUUUAAGCGACCCGUCUUGAAACACGGACCAAGGAGUCUAACAUGCCUGCGAGUAUUAGAGUGGAAAACUCUUGUGCGAAAUGAAAGUGAAAGUUGGGACUCUUUGCGGAGGCACCAACGCCCGGCCCUGAAGUUUACUGACGGUGCUGCGGUAGAGCAUGUAUGUUGGGACCCGAAAGAUGGUGAACUAUGCCUGAAUAGGGUGAAGCCAGGGGAAACUCUGGUGGAGGCUCGUAGCGAUUCUGACGUGCAAAUCGAUCGUCAAAUUUGGG